AAAAAGAUAAACCAUGGGUUUUUGUGCCAACGUUUGACUGCCCGUCUUAUAUAAAAUUUUUUUAUAGUUAGUAUUUUCAUUGUUGUUAGAUAAAAAAACAUAAUUAAUAUUUUAUGCGUGACUUAUCUUUUUAAUUUUUUUUUAUUAUUUUUUCAAAAUAAGACGGACGGUUAAACGUUGGACACGGAAACCAGAGAUUGUCUUUUUU
rfam:Oryza sativa (indica cultivar-group) chromosome 9, whole genome shotgun sequence.